rnacentral:rRNA from 1 species
UACGAAGGGUGCAAGCGUUAAUCGGAAUUACUGGGCGUAAAGGGUGCGUAGGUGGUUCGCUAAGUCCGUUGUGAAAGCCCCGAGCUCAACUUGGGAAUUGCAGUGGAUACUGGCGAGCUAGAGUGCGGUAGAGGAAGGUGGAAUUCCUGGUGUAGCGGUGAAAUGCGUAGAGAUCGGGAGGAACACCAGUGGCGAAGGCGGCCUUCUGGACCAGCACUGACACUCAAGCACGAAAGCGUGGGGAGCAAACAGG